rnacentral:tRNA from 1 species
GGUGGCUCAGUGGUGGAGUGCUUGCCUUGCAUGCAUGAAGCCCUGGGUUCGAUUCCUCAGCACCA